rnacentral:rRNA from 1 species
CUGCCCUGCGGUGAGGGAUAACUCCGGGAAACUGGAGAUAAUACCUCAUAGUUUACCAUCGCUGGAAUGCCUGGUAAGCGAAAGGUCCGCCGCCACAGGAUGGGUCUGCGGCCGAUUAGGUUGUUGUUGGGGUAACGGCCCAACAAGCCUGUGAUCGGUACGGGUUGUGGGAGCAAGAGCCCGGAGAUGGAUUCUGAGACACGAAUCCAGGCCCUACGGGGCGCAGCAGGCGCGAAAACUUUACAAUGCAGGCAACUGUGAUAAGGGAACCCCGAGUGCCCGUAUGGACGGGCUGUUCAGGUGCUUAAAAACCACCUGGAGAAAGGGCCGGGCAAGACCGGUGCCAGCCGCCGCGGUAAUACCGGCGGCUCGAGUGGUGGCCACUAUUACUGGGCUUAAAGCGUCCGUAGCUUGGUCGUUAAGCCUCUGGGGAAAUCUUCCGGCUCAACCAGAAGGCGUCUCAGGGGAACUGGCGGCCUAGGGAUCGGGAGAGGUGAGAGGUACUCUGGGGGUAGGAGUGAAAUCCUGUAAUCCUCAGGGGACCACCUGUGGCGAAGGCGUCUCACCAGAACGACUCCGACAGUGAGGGACGAAAGCUGGGGGAGCAAACCGGAUUAGAUACCCGGGUAGUCCCAGCCGUAAACGAUGCGCGUUAGGUGUAUCGGUGACCACGAGUUACCGAGGUGCCGAAGGGAAACCGUGAAACGCGCCGCCUGGGAAGUACGGUCGCAAGGCUGAAACUUAAAG